UUUGUGGCAAUAUUUGCUGGUGAUGUCCCACUAAUGAAGCAGGUACAUCUGAAAAACGGUGAAGAGAAAAUGAAGGAAAUACCUUGACUGUGCUACAAGAGCUGGUACUUUCACAUGCUCGUUGCUAGUGCUGCCUUUUAUCUCCAGUAUUUGGCAUUUUUGCUAUGACUUCUGACUACUUCAUGCUUCAGCUCAGGGGGGCAAAGGAGAGGGCGAACUGCCAAUCCAUCUCUUUCAAAGAGCAUUUUAUAUGUCUAAGGAAAAACUAUGGAAAAUGAAAACAAAUUAAGUAGGAGGGUGAAAAAGCACCUUUUAUUUUCUACUUCUACACUGAUAAUGGACAAUUAAUUUUAAGGAUCCUUUUUGGAAAUGAGUCGGAGGUAAGCUCUGGUCAAAACUGUUCUUACUUUUAAACAUUAUUUCUGCUUCUGUGUUAUGGGGAACUUUCAUGCUUUGUGCCCUGAAUUGGAUAAUUCAGGCCUUACUCCUGUUUAGAUCUAGGCCAAUGGGAUGAUCUUUUGUUGACCAAGGUUUCCUCUAACAUUUGUGCCUUUAUGAAUCUUCUCUCUUCAAGGUAUGAAGGAAGUUUCUCCUUUUAAGAAGUCUGGUCUCCCAGUAACCUUGGGGUGGAUUUACACAUUUAAGUCACAUCAAAUGCUAAUAGGAAUUCCUUGGUCAAAUCCUCUGCCCUGUCCCUCUUCAUGCCUCACUGGGAGAAAAGAGCCAUUAGUGUGUUUAAAAGUAAAUUUCAAGGUUUCCUUUUUGUGCGUUCCAAUGGCUGAGGUUUAUUUCUCUCGUCCUUUUUAUUUUAUUGUGAGGCACCUUGAGUUAUUUGCAUGAUAAGACACCCUGUAAAUGGAUUAUAUUGUAAUGCAUUGUGUAGGUUUAAUGCUGACAACAGCUUGGUUUGGAAGUAAGAUAGCAACUUAGAUUUUUAGUUUCUGAUGUGCCGUGCAGAGAAAUGCCUUUUGAGAAGCACAAGGCGAAGCAGGAGGGACGAGGAGGAGGCAGCUGGAGUUAAGUUGUAUGAAUAACGUGAGGCAAGGCUGCCGUUCAAGAUGAGCUGAAUGCAUUAACUUCUCAGCCCCCAAACUGCAGAGAAUCAGCAGCACAAAUGCCAGUGGCUCCCCCUUCUCUGCUCUAACACUUAAUCUGGUUUUCCCCUUCAUUUUUUUCCCAAGGAUACCAAAGAGGUGGCAAUGUUUUUUAGUAACAGCCUUUCACAUGGGAUGGGUGUACCUUUGCAGACACUGUGCCCAGAAUAUUAUGUCAUUAUAUACUACCUACUUAGGAGCUGGAGCUGGUCCCCUGGAGAAGCCCUAUAUUUCAGGAAAAAAUGGUGAAAUGAGCAAAAAGUCUGUUUUUUGGGGGGAAGUAGGUUGCCCUUAACUCUCACUGGACCAUGUAAUGAGUGCUGGUGCAGGAGGUUUGGCAGUCUGAGCAUGGAAAACAUACACUUCCCAGGAACAGGGUGUUUAAAUCCUGGCAGAAAGAACUUGGCUUUUCCCCCCCAAGGUAAGUAUGGAGUUUGCAUUGAGUGGCUAUUUCAGAUAACACCACAAAAAUAUAAACUUGCUCUGGAGAUUAAAGUGCUUUUCAUCUCUGCUGAAGUUCUGCACAAGGCUGCAUUUCAUGUUACACGCUUGAGAUACCCUGUGCAAGUGGCAGAAAUAUUCCUCUUUCUCCCUUUCAGUUGCAAUAAUAAAGCUCUCCAGUUUUUUAAAACUUUGCUCCAUAUAACUCAAAGCUUGAAUAAAAUGAUAGCAAUUAAAUCAAA